AUGCCAAAAUUCUUAGUGUAACUGAGUUUUUAUAUAGCCUAUGAAGCUUUUGUUGGCUGGAAACUGGCAGCAUUAAAUUGGAGAGUCAGUUACAGGCUACAGCUGCAAUCUUGGUCAAAGUUACAAGCAGGGAAGAGGUAACAGAGGGAAGGCAAAGUAAUGCAAUUAUCGGCCCCUCCUAUCUGGGCUGUGAAGCAGGAGUAUGAAAUAGGAGGGGAAGGAGGAAAGGCAAGGGUCUACACCAGGUAUUGUGCAGGAGAUAAAAGGGAAGAUUUCCAAGCUCACCAGUGGUGUUAAGAAGUGAGAGGAACCACUUCAUACUCAUUAGAAUGACUACUUCAAAAGAUGAAAAAACAGAAAACAACAAGUGUUGCUAAAAUAUUACAGUUGGGGGACAGAAGAGGAUAAAGCACUUUGAAAAACUCUCCCCAAGUGAGAAGUCCUUGUCAUCCUCUCCCCAUUCUAAAGAACCACCAGUUUUAUUCACCUGGAAUUUAUUUUGAUAUAUGGGCUAAGUGUCUGAUUUUAUUUUUUUGGCUCCCUAGAAAAGUUAAUUGACUGUCCUAUAAAAUUUACGGAAUAAUUCCUUCCUUUCCCC